GACGAACGCUGGCGGCGUGCUUAACACAUGCAAGUCGAGCGGUAAGGCCUUUCGGGGUCCACGAGCGGCGAACGGGUGAGUAACACGUGGGUGAUCUGCCCUGCACUUCGGGAUAAGCCUGGGAAACUGGGUCUAAUACCGGAUAUGACCUCCUAUCGCAUGGUGGGUGGUGGAAAGAUUUAUCGGUGCAGGAUGGGCCCGCGGCCUAUCAGCUUGUUGGUGGGGUAAUGGCCUACCAAGGCGACGACGGGUAGCCGACCUGAGAGGGUGACCGGCCACACUGGGACUGAGACACGGCCCAGACUCCUACGGGAGGCAGCAGUGGGGAAUAUGGCACAAGGGGCGAAAGCCUGAGGCAGCGACGCCGCGUGAGGGAUGACGGCCUUCGGGUUGUAAACCUCUUUCAGCAGGGACGAAGCGCAAGUGACGGUACCUGCAGAAGAAGCACCGGCUAACUACGU
rnacentral:rRNA from 1 species